CCCUUUAGUGCGCCAGUAUCCAAUCCAUUCCACUUGUUCACGUCACUUCCUGUUUGGAGUUCACGCGCAUCUGACUGUCUAGUUUAACGUUCACUUUGUACAAAACCAGCACAUCUUUGCUUUUUUGUCUUCACUGUGUCACUGUUCCGUGACACUCUGCUCUCUGUGUUGAUCGGUGCUAAGCCGGCUAGCAUUAGCAGCCUGACAUACAGGUGUGGAUUCUUCUGUUGCUGGAUGCUUCGGCAUCUAGACCAUCAGAAUGCCUCCACCGAGGAAAAGAUUCAACAAACCUGGCUAACGAACUGUAAGAUCUUCAGCAAACUAAAUGGGACGCCGGAGGAAGCAAAAGUCUUGGUGAACACAGACCACACCAAGUGUUGAUAUGGACAUGUUACAGAAGAACCUACAACAUCAUAACUGGGAAUGUGAGCCUAUUGGCCAUGGGGACCAGUUGCUGGGUCUCUGCCAUACCAGAGUCCAUUUGGAUAGACUGGAGAUGCAGCAGAUGAAGAGACAGGGCUGCGGAGCUACCACUGAGCGCCGGGACGGACAAGCUUCACAGUGUCUUGGCUGAAUGAGCAGACUUUCCAGGUCAGCUCCAGAGUAAAGAUCAGUCUUAGCAGCCAGCUCCUCCAAACAUACAUCAGGACCCACUGGCAUGGACUUUGUGCACACUUUCAGGAUGGCGAGACGGGCCUAAUCACACAACAACAGACCCAGAAUUGACAAGAUCUGCGGGUCGGGGGAACCUGCCUGUCUUGUUGGAACAGUUGUUGCCGGACACACAACAGAAUCUUGACAGAAAAGGAGGGUCGCGAGCCUGGCGAACCUUUCAGGGUAAACGUUGCUCUGGUGUAUCGACAAAUUGAAAGAUGGUGGCAGCCGUUCAAGGUCAAAGCGAUCACAAAUGAUUGGAGGUAGGGCUGGGCAAUAUAUCGAUAUACUCGAUAUAUUGCGGGUUUGUCUCUGUGCGAUAUAGAGAAUGACCAUAUCGUAAUAUUCGAGUAUACAUUCUCACGCAGUUGUUUUUAGCUGCUGGCAUUACACUACAGGCUCUUCUCACUCUUUCUUGUCUCCUUCUCACAGACAGCAAGCGCACCUUCUUACAUACAUCACAUACGUAUACGCCCUCGCACAGCAGAGAGGUAGCAGCAUGAGUAACGUUAGCUGUGGUGCGAGUGGUAAUACGAGAGAAAGAAGGUGCGAAUCUGGUAACAAAUGAAGGAAUAAUUAAUUCCCAAGAAAAACAGCACAGGGUCCAUCAUCUGGCGGUGGUUCGGCUUCAAUCGGGAAUAUGUCAAAUAGACAACUUUAAUUUGUCAAGUGUGGGGAAAAAGCGUUGCUACAAAAAGUAGCAUUACUAGUAAUAUGUAGCAUCAUAUGAAAAGUCACCCGCUAGAGAAUGAAGAGUGCUUACUCCGCAUCUUAAGAUCUCCAUUCGGUGCAACACCAACUAAAUGCCUAGGCAACCAUUUCCACAGCAACACGGUAUGAAAAAAAUAGUGAACAACAUAAGAAGAUAACGUCCGCUGUAACCUAGCACAUAGCGAUUUUAUUUCCUAAUAUGCUGCUAUUUUUUAUUUGACAGUUAUUGAAAUAUUUUGUGUGACAUCAUGCACAAAACUGCACUUUAUUUGUUUUAAACUAUUGUAGUGGAGUUCUGUACGAAAAGUGCACUUUAAUUUAGUUUUGUUUUGAUAUUUCAUCUUAUUGACAUCAUGCAAAAAAGUUCACUUAUAGCUAGUUUUAAAAUGUCUCUGACAAUCUUGCACUUUCUGUUUUGAAAUGACAUGAAUGUCUGUGCCACUGCUUGAUAACUGUUUAAUAAAUACAGUUUUGGUCAAUUGACUUAGUAGUGAUUUCCCUCUCUACAUGAAAGUUUAAAACGAGCAUAUAUUAAUGCGGUAUGAACAAGAAUGUUUUAAUGUAGACAGAUAGAAUCCCCAUACUGCUGUGAUUAUAUGCAUCAAGUGUUAAUUCAAGGCCAAGGCAAAAUAUUGAGAUAUAAAUCGUGUAUCGUCACAUUGCCUAAAAAUAUCGAGAUAUUAAAAAAAGGCCAUAUCGCUCAGCCCUUAUUGGAGGAUGCGGGCAGAACGCUGAACACUGAAAACUUUUGUGAUUUUGGAUAAAUCGCAAAAUGGAUAACAUUGGAGACGCCGUUUGCCCCUCUGGAUGGAUUUGAGGACACAGAAAUAGACAAUUAGAUUAAAACAUUUAAAUUCGUUUUGUUCGCUCACACACAAACACUCUAAUUUUGAUAGUUUUCCCUGGCUGGGACGUAGCAAGUUUGUUCUUUCAAGAUUCUCCUUGAGGUGAGUGCAGCUGCAGAAGCAACAACCUCCUUCCCGGUCAACAACACCCGAACAGAUGAACUCUGUUUCUGCAGAGGAAUUUCAGGCCUACAGACAUAACACACAUAUGGAUAAUGGAUGCAUAUGCACACAUACCCCCACCCACACCCCACGCCUCUGCAACAUCUUAACUCCUUAAGGUGCGAUGGGCACCUGGAGCAGCACCAAAAGGGAAGCAGCUCUGCCUACGGAAGUACCUCCCCUGCUCUUACUGUCACAAGUUUUGUGGUUUCUGUGUGUGUGUGCUUAUCGUGGCUCUCAAGUUUUUUUUCCGCGCCCAGCCUGAGCUUGCAUUGGAGCACAGUCUAGGAGUAUUUUUUUUCUUACUCAUCACCCCACGCCCAGCAUUCUCCUUUUCCCCACCUGUUACGGGGCGCCGUAGGUGGCGACCCAUCAGCGUUCAUGUUCUGUCUCGCUGUACCAAUAAUGUAUUCUCUUGAACGGGUUUGGGCUUAAAAUUAAAUUUCAUUGUACCUGUGCAAAGACAAAAAAGUUAUUAUUUCCAAAAAGUGUGCUAAAUACCAUAAGACGUGAUAAAAAUGGGAUUAAAAAUAACAUUUUAGAUGCACUGCAGAUUAAUGUAAAAUCCUAUCUUCUUUUAUUUACACACCUUAUUGUACUGAUUUUGUCAAGCUAUAUUUUAAUGAAGCCAAAUAGCUAACCUGCUGGUCUGGUGGUGGUACGUAAAUAAUUUGGUCCAGUCUGCCAGGCCUCAGUAGAGCACUGUCCAAACAGUCUGGUCUGUUUGUGGCUGCUACAACCAUCACAUCUUUGUUACAAACCUCCUGGCAGUUCAACUGUCAAAAAGCAGAUAUAUUUAAUUGCGUCAAAUGGUCAGACAUUCAUAAAAACACAUAUUUGCGGAAUGCCCAACCUGCUUAUGAGUGUGGUUUCCCAUUUCUCCGUCUACUUGGAGGAUCUUCUGCUCUCCUCUCCUUUCCAGCGUCUUCAGACCGACACCGUCCAUCUCAUUGAGAAGCACAGAUAAGAGUCGAGUCUGAACACUAUUAGGUGCCUGACUGCAGGACCGCGAGCCAAUCAGAGAGUCAAUCUCGUCGAGGAACAGGAUGCAAGGAGCGCAGGCCCGUGCCUGGCGAAACAACUGCACAUGUUGCACAUAUGCACACGUAAGUUUGCAGAAAAAACACAGAAAUAGAGCAGCCAAUCACAGUCGAGCACCUGUGACAAAGCCUUCUCUGAGUCUCCCACAUAGGGAGAAUAGAGGUCAGCACCACUGACAGACAGGAAGGUGCAGUGGGAGCCGGAGGCUGUUGCUCGGACCAGCGACGUCUUAGAACAUCCUGGAGGGCCAUAUAGAAGAACACCACGAGGGCUACACAGACCAAGACGAGUAAAGGCCUCGGGGUACAUCAUCGGCCACUCAAGACUCUGCAAUGACCACACACAGAGGAGGAGCACAUAAGAGAGGACAUCAAACAGCAUCAACAGGACAAUUAGGGAACGGUCCUACUGAUUCUGCAUUAUGGCCUCCGAUUUGGUCCCAAGUUACGGGAGAGAUGUCUGUCCUCCCCAGGCUGCUACGCAGGCAGGAGGGCUGCACCAACUUCAAAGCCUCCAGGAAAUGCUUCAUACCCACUACCUGCUCUCCUGAACCCUACUUACAAUAAACCAACUUCAGCAUGCAUGGCGGCCUCCCUGCAGAGGGCGCUGAGGUCUGACCCGACAUAACCUGUGGUCCUCUUUGCCAGUUCUGCUAUCUCCACCAUGGGACAAACUGGCAUCUUUUCACAAAGAACAGACAAGAUGGCAGCUCUCUGCUGCAAGGCCUGCGCAGUGCUGGGUCUAAGCUGUCCGGUCGGUUGGUGGCACCGACAACCAGGAAUCGAUCUGACUGGUCCACCCCGUCCAUUAGUGUGAGGAGCUGAGCCACCAGGCGGUUCUCUGGUGCUGAUGACCCAGUCCUUCUCGGACACAGAGAGUCUAACUCGUCUAAGAACAGCACGCAGGGACCCUCCUCUGCUGCGGUGCGAGCCUGCACAAACAUGGCUCGCAACCUCUCCUCGCUCUCACCAGGCUUGCUCCCACUUCUCCCACCACUUUGCGCACCAGUUGGGUCUUCCCAACACCUGGAGGCCCAACCAGCAGCAAGCCUCUUGGACAAGACACACCCAGAGCACCAAGAGUGCCUGGAUAGAGCAAUGGCAGCUGCAACAUCUCCAUCAGCAACGCACUCACCUAAGCAAAAGCAAAAACUCACUAUGUGCAAUAUGGUGGAAAACAUUAGGUAAUUAGAGAGACAUUGUUGUAGAUCAGUGUUUCUCAAAUGGGAGUACGCGUACCCCUGGGGUUACUUGAAGGUAUGCCAAGGGGUAAGUGAGAUUUUAAAAAAAAUAUUCUAAAAAUAGCAACAAUUCAAAAAAUCCUUUAUAAAUGUAUUUAUUUGUUGAUGACUGAAGUACUGAUAUCAACCAAAGCUCCUCAUCCCACCCCCCGGAUUGUAAAUAAUGUAAAUAAAUCAAUGUAUAUACUAUGAUGAUUAACUUGUGUGAUGGCUGUAUUAUGCUGAUAGUAUAUAUCUGUACCACGAAUGGAUUAACGUGGACCCCGACUUAAACAAGUUGAAGAACUUAUUGAGGUGUUAACAUUUAGUGGUCAAUUGUACGGAAUAUGUACUGUACUGUGCAAUCUACUGAUAAAAGUUUCAAUCAAUCAAUCAAUAAAUUGAAAAAUAGCAACAAUUCAAAAAUCCUUUAUAAAUAUAUUUUAUGAAUAAUACUUCAACAAAAUAUGAAUGUAAGUUCAUAAAUGGUGAAAAGAAAUGCAACAAUGCAAUAUUCAAAUGUUGACAGCUAGAUUUUUUUGUGGACAUGUUCCAUAAAUAUUAAUAUUAAAGAUUUAUUUUUCUGUGAAGAAAUCUUUAGAAUUAAGUUCAUGAAUCCAGAUGGAUCUCUAUUACAAUCCCCAAAGAGGGCACUUUAAGUUGAUGAUUACUUCUGAGUAUAAAUCUUUAUUUAUAAUUGAAUCACUUGUUUAUUUUACAACAAGUUUUUAGUUAUUUGCAUAUCUUUUUUUCCAAAUAGUUAAAAAAAGACCACUACAAAUGAGCAAUAUUGUGCACUGUUAUACAGUUGAAAAAAUCAGAAACUUAUGACAUAGUGCUGUAUUUUACUUCUUUAUCUCUUUUUUUCAACCAAAAAGGCUUUGCUCUGAUUAGGGGGUACUUGAAUUAAAAAAAUGUUCACAGGGGGUGCGUCACUGAAAAAAGGUUAAGAGCUACUGUUGUAGAUGACCGCAAUAUAUCCCGCCAAAUCAUGUCUGGAUUGUAGUUUUCCAUUAUAACACAACAUAUAUUUUUUAGUUUAAAAAAAAGCAUGCAUUGAUUGGUCGCUGUUGAGAUCUUAAGUUCACCUGUGUUCAGCAAAAUAAAUCUGGCAUGUUUUUUUCCCUGUUUUUUAGAUUUGCUGUGUUUGCCCGCGCUCAUAAACACAUUGCAAUGGGACUGUCUGUGUAGCUUGUCA